ACCUACUCCACAAUGAACUUGAUUGGAGAAGGGCUCAUGAUGAAACAGAUAACAUCACUUUCGAUGCAAGCACUGCCCACCCCAACCUCUGCAUUGAUGAGGAUGAGAAGAGUUUUA